rnacentral:rRNA from 1 species
CAGCCCAAACCAAGAGGCUUGCCUCUUGGGGUUGUAGGACACUCUGUACGGAGUUACAAAGGAACGAGGUAGAUGAAGAGGUCUGGAAAGGCCCGCCAUAGGAGGUAACAGCCCUGUAGUCAAAACUUCGUUCUCUCCUGAGUGGAUCCUGAGUACGGCGGAACACGUGAAAUUCCGUCGGAAUCCGGGAGGACCAUCUCCCAAGGCUAAAUACUCCCUAGUGACCGAUAGUGAACCAGUACCGUGAGGGAAAGGUGAAAAGCACCCCGGAAGGGGAGUGAAAGAGAUCCUGAAACCGUGUGCCUACAAGUAGUCAGAGCCCGUUAACGGGUGAUGGCGUGCCUUUUGUAGAAUGAACCGGCGAGUUACGAUCCCGUGCAAGGUUAAGCAGAAGAUGCGGAGCCGCAGCGAAAGCGAGUCUGAAUAGGGCGAAUUGAGUACGUGGUCGUAGACCCGAAACCAGGUGAUCUACCCAUGUCCAGGGUGAAGUUCAGGUAACACUGAAUGGAGGCCCGAACCCACGCACGUUGAAAAGUGCGGGGAUGAGGUGUGGGUAGGGGUGAAAUGCCAAUCGAACCUGGAGAUAGCUGGUUCUCUCCGAAAUAGCUUUAGGGCUAGCCUCAAGGUAAGAGUCUCGGAGGUAGAGCACUGAUUGGACUAGGGGCCCCUACCGGGUUACCGAAUUCAGUCAAACUCCGAAUGCCGAUGACUUAUCCUUGGGAGUCAGACUGCGAGUGAUAAGAUCCGUAGUCGAAAGGGAAACAGCCCAGACCGCCAGCUAAGGUCCCAAAGUAUACGUUAAGUGGAAAAGGAUGUGGAGUUGCUUAGACAACCAGGAUGUUGGCUUAGAAGCAGCCACCAUUUAAAGAGUGCGUAAUAGCUCACUGGUCGAGUGACUCUGCGCCGAAAAUGUACCGGGGCUAAACGUAUCACCGAAGCUGCGGACUGUUCUUCGAACAGUGGUAGGAGAGCGUUCUAAGGGCUGUGAAGCAAGACCGGAAGGACUUGUGGAGCGCUUAGAAGUGAGAAUGCCGGUAUGAGUAGCGAAAGAGGGGUGAGAAUCCCCUCCACCGAAUGCCUAAGGUUUCCUGAGGAAGGCUCGUCCGCUCAGGGUUAGUCGGGACCUAAGCCGAGGCCGAAAGGCGUAGGCGAUGGAUAACAGGUUGAUAUUCCUGUACCACCUCCUCACCAUUUGAGCAAUGGGGGGACGCAGGAGGAUAGGGUAAGCGCGGUAUUGGAUAUCCGCGUCCAAGCAGUUAGGCUGGGAAAUAGGCAAAUCCGUUUCCCGUGAAGGCUGAGCUGUGAUGGCGAGCGAAUUAUAGUAGCGAAGUUCCUGAUUCCACACUGCCAAGAAAAGCCUCUAGCGAGGUGAGAGGUGCCCGUACCGCAAACCGACACAGGUAGGCGAGGAGAGAAUCCUAAGGUGAUCGAGAGAACUCUCGUUAAGGAACUCGGCAAAAUGACCCCGUAACUUCGGGAGAAGGGGUGCUCUGUUAGGGUGCAAGCCCGAGAGAGCCGCAGUGAAUAGGCCCAGGCGACUGUUUAGCAAAAACACAGGUCUCUGCGAAGCCGUAAGGCGAAGUAUAGGGGCUGACGCCUGCCCGGUGCUGGAAGGUUAAGAGGAGCGCUUAGCGUAAGCGAAGGUGCGAAUUGAAGCCCCAGUAAACGGCGGCCGUAACUAUAACGGUCCUAAGGUAGCGAAAUUCCUUGUCGGGUAAGUUCCGACCCGCACGAAAGGCGCAACGAUCUGGGCACUGUCUCAACGAGAGACUCGGUGAAAUUAUAGUACCUGUGAAGAUGCAGGUUACCCGCGACAGGACGGAAAGACCCCGUGGAGCUUUACUGCAGCCUGAUAUUGAAUGUUGGUACAGCUUGUACAGGAUAGGUAGGAGCCUUGGAAACCGGAGCGCCAGCUUCGGUGGAGGCAUCGGUGGGAUACUACCCUGGCUGUAUUGACCUUCUAACCCGCCGCCCUUAUCGGGCGGGGAGACAGUGUCAGGUGGGCAGUUUGACUGGGGCGGUCGCCUCCUAAAAGGUAACGGAGGCGCCCAAAGGUUCCCUCAGAAUGGUUGGAAAUCAUUCGCAGAGUGUAAAGGCACAAGGGAGCUUGACUGCGAGACCUACAAGUCGAGCAGGGACGAAAGUCGGGCUUAGUGAUCCGGUGGUUCCGCAUGGAAGGGCCAUCGCUCAACGGAUAAAAGCUACCCCGGGGAUAACAGGCUUAUCUCCCCCAAGAGUCCACAUCGACGGGGAGGUUUGGCACCUCGAUGUCGGCUCAUCGCAUCCUGGGGCUGUAGUCGGUCCCAAGGGUUGGGCUGUUCGCCCAUUAAAGCGGUACGCGAGCUGGGUUCAGAACGUCGUGAGACAGUUCGGUCCCUAUCCGUCGCGGGCGCAGGAAAUUUGAGAGGAGCUGUCCUUAGUACGAGAGGACCGGGAUGGACGCACCGCUGGUGUACCAGUUGUUCUGCCAAGGGCAUCGCUGGGUAGCUAUGUGCGGACGGGAUAAGUGCUGAAAGCAUCUAAGCAUGAAGCCCCCCUCAAGAUGAGAUUUCCCAUUCCGCAAGGAAGUAAGAUCCCUGAAAGAUGAUCAGGUUGAUAGGUCUGAGGUGGAAGUGUGGCGACACAUGGAGCUGACAGAUACUAAUCGAUCGAGGACUUAACCAA